UCUGCCUCAAGUUCACGCUCGUCGCCUACAGCACCGCUUUCUGGAUAAUUGGAGCAUUUGUUCUCGCUGUCGGGAUUUAUGCAGAAGUUGAAAGACAGAAGUACAAAACCCUGGAAAGUGCCUUUCUAGCCCCAGCAAUUAUUUUAAUCCUUUUGGGGAUUAUAAUGUUCCUCGUGUCUUUUGU